rnacentral:rRNA from 1 species
AUUGAACGCUGGCGGCAGGCCUAACACAUGCAAGUCGAACGGACCCUUCGGGGUUAGUGGCGGACGGGUGAGUAACACGUGGGAACGUGCCUUUAGGUUCGGAAUAGCUCCUGGAAACGGGUGGUAAUGCCGAAUGUGCCCUUCGGGGGAAAGAUUUAUCGCCUUUAGAGCGGCCCGCGUCUGAUUAGCUAGUUGGUGAGGUAAUGGCUCACCGAGGCGACGAUCAGUAGCUGGUCUGAGAGGAUGACCAGCCACAUUGGGACUGAGACACGGCCCAAACUCCUACGGGAGGCAGCAGUGGGGAAUCUUGCGCAAUGGGCGAAAGCCUGACGCAGCCAUGCCGCGUGGAUGAUGAAGGUCUUAGGAUUGUAAAAUCCUUUCACCGGUGAAGAUAAUGACUGUAGCCGGAGAAGAAGCCCCGGCUAACUUCGUGCCAGCCGCCGCCGUAAAAC